GGUCAAGUGAAGAAGCGCAUACGGUGGAUGCCUUGGCAGUCAGAGGCGAUGAAAGACGUGGUAGCCUGCGAAAAGCUUCGGGGAGUCGGCAAACAGACUGUGAUCCGGAGAUGUCUGAAUGGGGGAACCCAGCCAUCACAAGAUGGUUAUCUUACACUGAAUACAUAGGUGUAAGAGGCGAACCAGGGGAACUGAAACAUCUAAGUACCCUGAGGAAAAGAAAUCAACCGAGAUUCCCUUAGUAGUGGCGAGCGAACGGGGACCAGCCCUUAAGUUGUAUUGAGAUUAGCGGAACGCUCUGGAAAGUGCGGCCAUAGUGGGUGAUAGCCCUGUACGCGAAAAUCCCUUUGCAAUGAAAUCGAGUAGGACGGGGCACGAGAAACCUUGUCUGAAUAUGGGGGGACCAUCCUCCAAGGCUAAAUACUACUGACUGACCGAUAGUGAACCAGUACCGUGAGGGAAAGGCGAAAAGAACCGCGGAGAGCGGAGUGAAAUAGAUCCUGAAACCGUAUGCGUACAAGCAGUGGGAGCCCACUUUGUUGGGUGACUGCGUACCUUUUGUAUAAUGGGUCAGCGACUUAUUUUCAGUGGCGAGCUUAACCGAAUAGGGGAGGCGUAGCGAAAGCGAGUCUUAAUAGGGCGUCUAGUCGCUGGGAAUAGACCCGAAACCGGGCGAUCUAUCCAUGGGCAGGUUGAAGGUUGGGUAACACUAACUGGAGGACCGAACCGACUACCGUUGAAAAGUUAGCGGAUGACCUGUGGAUCGGAGUGAAAGGCUAAUCAAGCUCGGAGAUAGCUGGUUCUCCUCGAAAGCUAUUUAGGUAGCGCCUCAUGUAUCACUGUAGGGGGUAGAGCACUGUUUCGGCUAGGGGGUCAUCCCGACUUACCAAACCGAUGCAAACUCCGAAUACCUACAAGUGCCGAGCAUGGGAGACACACGGCGGGUGCUAACGUCCGUCGUGAAAAGGGAAACAACCCAGACCGUCAGCUAAGGUCCCAAAGUCAUGGUUAAGUGGGAAACGAUGUGGGAAGGCUUAGACAGCUAGGAGGUUGGCUUAGAAGCAGCCACCCUUUAAAGAAAGCGUAAUAGCUCACUAGUCGAGUCGGCCUGCGCGGAAGAUGUAACGGGGCUCAAACCAUGCACCGAAGCUACGGGUAUCACCUUUGGUGAUGCGGUAGAGGAGCGUUCUGUAAGCCUGUGAAGGUGAGUUGAGAAGCUUGCUGGAGGUAUCAGAAGUGCGAAUGCUGACAUGAGUAACGACAAUGGGUGUGAAAAACACCCACGCCGAAAGACCAAGGUUUCCUGCGCAACGUUAAUCGACGCAGGGUUAGUCGGUCCCUAAGGCGAGGCUGAAAAGCGUAGUCGAUGGAAAACAGGUUAAUAUUCCUGUACUUCUGGUUAUUGCGAUGGAGGGACGGAGAAGGCUAGGCCAGCCUGGCGUUGGUAGUCCAGGUUUAAGGUGGUAGGCUGAGAUCUUAGGUAAAUCCGGGAUCUUAAGGCCGAGAGCUGAUGACGAGUGUUCUUUUAGAACAUGAAGUGGUUGAUGCCAUGCUUCCAAGAAAAGCUUCUAAGCUUCAGGUAACCAGGAACCGUACCCCAAACCGACACAGGUGGUUGGGUAGAGAAUACCAAGGCGCUUGAGAGAACUCGGGUGAAGGAACUAGGCAAAAUGGCACCGUAACUUCGGGAGAAGGUGCGCCGGUGAGGGUGAAGCAUUUACUGCGUAAGCCCACGCCGGUCGAAGAUACCAGGCCGCUGCGACUGUUUAUUAAAAACACAGCACUCUGCAAACACGAAAGUGGACGUAUAGGGUGUGACGCCUGCCCGGUGCCGGAAGGUUAAUUGAUGGGGUUAGCGCAAGCGAAGCUCUUGAUCGAAGCCCCGGUAAACGGCGGCCGUAACUAUAACGGUCCUAAGGUAUCGAAAUUCCUUGUCGGGUAAGUUCCGACCUGCACGAAUGGCGUAACGAUGGCGGCGCUGUCUCCACCCGAGACUCAGUGAAAUUGAAAUCGCUGUGAAGAUGCAGUGUAUCCGCGGCUAGACGGAAAGACCCCGUGAACCUUUACUAUAGCUUUGCACUGGACUUUGAAUUUGCUUGUGUAGGAUAGGUGGGAGGCUUUGAAGCGUGGACGCCAGUCUGCGUGGAGCCAACCUUGAAAUACCACCCUGGCAACUUUGAGGUUCUAACUCAGGUCCGUUAUCCGGAUCGAGGACAGUGUAUGGUGGGUAGUUUGACUGGGGCGGUCUCCUCCUAAAGAGUAACGGAGGAGUACGAAGGUGCGCUCAGACCGGUCGGAAAUCGGUCGUAGAGUAUAAAGGCAAAAGCGCGCUUGACUGCGAGACAGACACGUCGAGCAGGUACGAAAGUAGGUCUUAGUGAUCCGGUGGUUCUGUAUGGAAGGGCCAUCGCUCAACGGAUAAAAGGUACUCCGGGGAUAACAGGCUGAUACCGCCCAAGAGUUCAUAUCGACGGCGGUGUUUGGCACCUCGAUGUCGGCUCAUCACAUCCUGGGGCUGAAGCCGGUCCCAAGGGUAUGGCUGUUCGCCAUUUAAAGUGGUACGCGAGCUGGGUUUAGAACGUCGUGAGACAGUUCGGUCCCUAUCUGCCGUGGACGUUUGAGAUUUGAGAGGGGCUGCUCCUAGUACGAGAGGACCGGAGUGGACGAACCUCUGGUGUUCCGGUUGUCACGCCAGUGGCAUUGCCGGGUAGCUAUGUUCGGAAAAGAUAACCGCUGAAAGCAUCUAAGCGGGAAACUUGCCUCAAGAUGAGAUCUCACUGGAACCUAGAGUUCCCUGAAGGGCCGUCGAAGACUACGACGUUGAUAGGUUGGGUGUGUAAGCGCUGUGAGGCGUUGAGCUAACCAAUACUAAUUGCCCGUGAGGCUUGACCAU
rnacentral:rRNA from 1 species